AAAUUGAUUGGACAUGAUUUGUAAAUGCAAACACCUCUCAAUAGAAGGCCUCACAGCUGAUGAUGCAUAUCAGAGCAAAAACCAAGCCAUGAGGUCAAAGGAGCUGCCUGCAGAGAUCUGAGACAGGAUUGUUGCAAGACAAAGAUCUGGAAAAGAUUUUUUUUUUAAAGCAUAGUGGCCUCUAUAAUUUUUAAAUGGAAGAUGUUUGGCAAAACCAGGACUUUUGUAAGAGCUGGUCAUCUGGCCAAACUAAGAAACUGUGGAAGAAGGGCUAUAGUAAGAGAGGUGACCAUGAACCUGAUGGUUCCAGAUGGACAACCAUAACUGUAGCCUUCCACAGAUCUGGGCUUUGACAGAGUAGCUAAACCGAAGCCUCUCCUCAAUGCAAAAGACAUGAAAGCCUGCUUAGAGUUUGCAAAAAAGUAUCUAAAGAACUCCCAGACUGGGAGGAACAAGAUUCUCUGAUCAUAUGAAACUGAGAUCAAACUGUUUGUUCUCAGCUCUAAACUUUAUAUCAGAAUAAAACCAGGCACCACUCUUCACCUGCUGAAUACCAUGUCAACAGUGAAGCAUGGUGGUGGUAGCAUUAUGAUGACCUGUUUUUUUAGCAGCAGGUACUGGGAGAAUGAUCAGGGUUGAGUGAAAGCUGAAUAGAGCAAAGUACAGAUAAGCUCAGGUCCACAGACUGGCCAAAGGUUCACCUACCAACAUGACGAUGACCCUAAGCACACAGCCAAGACAACACAGGAGUGUCUUAGGCACAACUCUGUGAAUGUUCAAGAGUGGCUGGCCAGAGCCCUUACUUGAACCCUGUUGAACAUCUCCCUGGUAAUUAUGGCCGUCCACCAACGGUCCUCAUCCAACCUGAACAACCUUCAGAGGAUUUGCAAAGAAGAAUGACAGAAAAUCUCCUGAUCCAGUGAGGACCAGUCUGGGAUCUGAGCCAUCCGAUUGUCAAGACAACCCUGUAAUCUGGAGUGGAAUUUAUUAACAAGAAUGAACUCGGGUUGUGUGUACUAGGAAUGCACACAUAUUUGGACCAAGUUCAAAAAGAUAUUACUUCCUAUUUCAUUCAUGACCAAUAAACAGCUCAGUCUUC